AUUGAACGCUGGCGGCAGGCCUAACACAUGCAAGUCGAGCGGAUGAAGGGAGCUUGCUCCUGGAUUCAGCGGCGGACGGGUGAGUAAUGCCCAGGAAUCUGCCUGGUAGUGGGGGAUAACGUCCGGAAACGGGCGCUAAUACCGCAUACGUCCUGAGGGAGAAAGUGGGGGAUCUUCGGACCUCACGCUAUCAGAUGAGCCUAGGUCGGAUUAGCUAGUUGGUGGGGUAAAGGCCUACCAAGGCGACGAUCCGUAACUGGCCUGAGAGGAUGAUCAGUCACACUGGAACUGAGACACGGUCCAGACUCCUACGGGAGGCAGCAGUGGGGAAUAUUGGACAAUGGGCGAAAGCCUGAUCCAGCCAUGCCGCGUGUGUGAAGAAGGUCUUCGGAUUGUAAAGCACUUUAAGUUGGGAGGAAGGGCAGUAAGUUAAUACCUUGCUGUUUUGACGUUACCAACAGAAUAAGCACCGGCUAACUUCGUG
rnacentral:rRNA from 1 species